UCGGGAAUUUUGGGCAAUGGGGGAAACCCUGACCCAGCAACGCCGCGUGAAGGAUGAAGUAUUUCGGUAUGUAAACUUCGAAAGAAUAGGAAGAAUAAAUGACGGUACUAUUUAUAAGGUCCGGCUAACUACGUGCCAGCAGCCGCGGUAAUACGUAGGGACCAAGCGUUGUUCGGAUUUACUGGGCGUAAAGGGCGCGUAGGCGGCAUGACAAGUCACUUGUGAAAUCUCUGGGCUUAACCCAGAACGGCCAAGUGAUACUGUCGCGCUAGAGUGCAGAAGGGGCAAUCGGAAUUCUUGGUGUAGCGGUGAAAUGCGUAGAUAUCAAGAGGAACACCUGUGGCGAAGGCGGCCACCUGGUUGGAUACUGACGCUGAGACGCGAAAGCGUGGGGAGCAAACAGGAUUAGAUACCCACGUAGUCCCUGAGCGGGCUGGCAAGGCGCAU
rnacentral:rRNA from 1 species